AUUGAACGCUGGCGGCAGGCUUAACACAUGCAAGUCGAACGAGCGGCGGACGGGUGAGUAAUGUCUGGGAAACUGCCUGAUGGAGGGGGAUAACUACUGGAAACGGUCGCUAAUACCGCAUACCAUCGGAUGUGCCCAGAUGGGAUUAGCUAGUAGGUGGGGUAAUGGCUCACCUAGGCGACGAUCCCUAGCUGGUCUGAGAGGAUGACCAGCCACACUGGAACUGAGACACGGUCCAUACUCCUACGGGAGGCAGCAGUGGGGAAUAUUGAACAAUGGGGGCAAGCCUGAUGCAGCCAUGCCGCGUGUGUGAAGAAGGCCUUCGGGUUGUAAAGUACUUUCAGCGAGGAGGCGUUAAUCGCAGAAGAAGCACCGGCUAACUCCGUGCCAGCAGCCGCGGUAAUAG
rnacentral:rRNA from 1 species